rnacentral:rRNA from 1 species
GUGGUCAAGCUAAUAAGGGCUUGCGGAGGAUACCUAGGCACACAGAGGCGAAGAAGGACGUGGUUACCAACGAUAAGCUCCGGGGAGUUGGAAGCAAGCGGUGAGCCGGAGAUUUCCGAAUGGGGAAACCCUGAGUACUGGCUGUUGAAUAUAUAGACAGUCAAGAGCGAACCCAGCGAACUGAAACAUCUUAGUAGCUGGAGGAAAAGAAAUCAAAAGAGAUUCUCCAAGUAGUGGUGAGCGAACGGGGAAGAGCCUAAACCAAAGUGCUUGCAUUUUGGGGUAGUGGGACAGCGUCAUCAAAUCGUAGAGUUAGACGAAGCAGCUAAGUACUGCACCAGAGAAAGUGAAAGUCUUGUAGUCGAAAGCUUGAAGAUAGUAGCUGAAUCCCGAGUAGCAGCGGACACGUGAAAUCCGAUGUGAAUCAGCCGGGACCACCCGGUAAGGCUAAAUACUACUGUGUGACCGAUAGCGAAACAGUACCGCGAGGGAAAGGUGAAAAGAACCCCAAUAAGGGGAGUGAAAUAGAACAUGAAACCGCAAGCCUACAAGCAGUGGGAGUCCGAUUCAACGGAUGACCGCGUGCCUGUUGAAGAAUGAGCCGGCGAGUUAUAGGCACUGGUAGGUUAAGUGAAAACCACGAAGCCAAAGCGAAAGCGAGUCUGAAGAGGGCGCGAAUCAGUGUUUAUAGACCCGAACCCUGGUGAUCUAACCAUGGCCAGGAUGAAGCUUGGGUAACACCAAGUGGAGGUCCGCACCGACCGAUGUUGAAAAAUCGGCGGAUGAGCUGUGGUUAGGGGUGAAAUGCCAAUCGAACCAGGAGCUAGCUGGUUCUCCCCGAAAUGUGUUUAGGCGCAGCGGUUGUGAGUAUAGCUGGGGGGUAAAGCACUAUUUCGGUGCGGGCUGCGAGAGCGGUACCAAAUCGAGAUAAACUCUGAAUACCCAGUGAAAACACAGCCAGACAGACGGUGGGGGAUAAGCUUCAUCGUCAAGAGGGAAACAGCCCAGACCACCAGCUAAGGUCCCCAAAUCAUCGCUAAGUGGCAAAGGAGGUGGGAGUGCACAGACAACCAGGAGGUUUGCCUAGAAGCAGCCACCCUUGAAAGAGUGCGUAAUAGCUCACUGGUCAAGCGCUCCGGCGCCGAAAAUGAAUGGGACUAAGCGAUGUACCGAAGCUGUGGAAUCAGUUAUCAAUUAUCAGUUAACAGUUAACAGUGAAAAAAUUGCUGAUAACUGCUAACUGGUAACUGAAGACUGAUUGGUAGGGGAGCGUUCUGUAUAGGAAGAAGCACUAGCGGCGAGCAGGUGUGGACAGUACAGAAGUGAGAAUGUCGGCUUGAGUAGCGCAAAUGUAUGUGAGAAUCAUACACCCCGAAACCCCAAGGGUUCCAGAGCCAGGUUCGUCCACUCUGGGUUAGUCGGGACCUAAGGCGAGGCCGAACGGCGUAGUCGAUGGACACAGGGUGAAUAAUCCCUGACUAAAGUAUGGGAGGAUUUAUCGGGACGCAUGAGUGGGGACUAAACCCUAAUUGGAUUGGGAGGAGUUUACGAACUCCGCUUAGUUGAAACAAGUGCCAAGAAAAGCGAUAAAUGCGUUGAACAUAUUUUACCCGUACCCGAAACCGACACAGGUGGGGAGGUUGAGAAUACCAAGGGGCGCGAGAUAACUCUCUCUAAGGAACUCGGCAAAAUGGCCCCGUAACUUCGGAAGAAGGGGUACCCAAGGAGACUUGGGUCGCAGUGAAGAGAUCCAGGCGACUGUUUACCAAAAACACAGGUCUCCGCAAACUCGUAAGAGCAUGUAUGGGGGCUGACGCCUGCCCAGUGCCGGAAGGUUAAGGAAGUUGGUCAGCACAUUCGUGUGUGAAGCUGACGACCGAAGCCCCGGUGAACGGCGGCCGUAACUAUAACGGUCCUAAGGUAGCGAAAUUCCUUGUCGGGUAAGUUCCGACCCGCACGAAAGGCGUAACGAUCUGGAUGGUGUCUCGGAGAGAGACUCGGCGAAAUAGGAUUGUCUGUGAAGAUACGGACUACCUGCACCUGGACAGAAAGACCCUAUGAAGCUUUACUGUAACCUGGAAUGGUGUCCGGGCUGAACUUGCGCAGGAUAGGUGGGAGGCGCUGAGAUAUCCCUUGUGGGGGAUAUGGAGCCAACGGUGAGAUACCACUCUAGUUCAGCUAGGAUUCUAACCCGCGACCGUUACCCGGUCGGGAGACAGUUUCAGGCGGGCAGUUUGACUGGGGCGGUCGCCUCCUAAAAGAUAACGGAGGCGCGCAAAGGUUCCCUCAGCACGCUUGGAAACCGUGCGACGAGUGUAAAGGCAUAAAGGGAGCUUGACUGCAACACCUACAAGUGGAGCAGGUACGAAAGUAGGCCUUAGUGAUCCGACGGCGCAGCGUGGAAUGGCCGUCGCUCAACGGAUAAAAGUUACUCUAGGGAUAACAGGCUGAUCUCCCCCAAGAGUCCACAUCGACGGGGAGGUUUGGCACCUCGAUGUCGGCUCAUCGCAACCUGGGGCGGAAGUACGUCCCAAGGGUUGGGCUGUUCGCCCAUUAAAGCGGUACGUGAGCUGGGUUCAGAACGUCGUGAGACAGUUCGGUCCAUAUCCGGUGCAGGCGUAAGAGUAUUGAGAGGAGCCUUCCUUAGUACGAGAGGACCGGGAAGGACGCACCGCUGGUGUACCAGUUAUUGUGCCAACAGUAGACGCUGGGUAGCCAAGUGCGGAGCGGAUAACCGCUGAAAGCAUCUAAGUGGGAAGCCCACCUCAAGAUGAGUACUCUCACAGCUAAAGCUGGUAAGGUCACAGGUAGAACACCUGUUCAUAGGCUCUAAGUGGAAGUGUGGCAACAUAUGAAGCUGAGGAGUACUAAUAGACCGAGGGCUUGACCUC